GACGAACGCUGGCGGCGUGCUUAACACAUGCAAGUCGAACGGUAAGGCCCUUCGGGGUACACGAGUGGCGAACGGGUGAGUAACACGUGGGUGAUCUGCCCUGCACUUCGGGAUAAGCCUGGGAAACUGGGUCUAAUACCGGAUAGGACCACUGCCUGCAUGGGUGGUGGUGGAAAGCUUUUGCGGUGUGGGAUGGGCCCGCGGCCUAUCAGCUUGUUGGUGGGGUGAUGGCCUACCAAGGCGACGACGGGUAGCCGGCCUGAGAGGGUGACCGGCCAAACUGGGACGGAGAUGCGGCCCAGACGCCUACGGGAGGCAGCAGUGGGGAAUAUUGCACAAUGGGCGCAAGCCUGAUGCAGCGACGCCGCGUGAGGGAUGACGGCCUUCGGGUUGUAAACCUCUUUCAGCACCGACGAAGCGCAAGUGACGGUAGGUGCAGAAGAAGGACCGGCCAACUACGUGCCAGCAGCCGCGGUAA
rnacentral:rRNA from 1 species